GACGAACGCUGGCGGCGUGCUUAACACAUGCAAGUCGAACGAAGUGGCGCACGGGUGAGUAACGCGUAAUCAACCUGCCCUUCAGAGGGGGACAACAGUUGGAAACGACUGCUAAUACCGCAUACUGAAGGAGGGGAUUGCGUCGGAUUCGCUAGUUGGAGGGGUAACGGCCCACCAAGGCGAUGCUCAGUAGCCGGUUUGGGAGGAGGAACGGCCAAAUUGGGACUGGGACACGGCCCAGAAUCCUUAGGGGGGGAGCAGUGGGGGAACUUUCGCAAUGGACGAAAGUCUGACGGAGCAACGCCGCGGGAGUGAUGACGGGCUUCGGGUUGUAAAGCUCUGUUAAUCGGGACGCGGUACCGGAAGAGAAAGCAACGGCUAACUACGUGCCAGCAGCCGCGGUAAUAC
rnacentral:rRNA from 1 species